UACGUAGGUGGCAAGCGUUGUCCGGAUUUACUGGGCGUAAAGAGUGCGUAGGCGGUUUUCUAAGUUUGGUGUGAAAUCUCCCGGCUUAACUGGGAGGGUGCGCCGAAAACUGGAAGGCUUGAGUAUGGGAGAGGUAAGCGGAAUUCCUGGUGUAGCGGUGAAAUGCGUAGAUAUCAGGAGGAACACCUGCGGUGUAGACGGCUUACUGGACCAUAACUGACGCUGAGGCACGAAAGCGUGGGUAGCAAACAGG
rnacentral:rRNA from 1 species